UUCGAAGCGGUUAGUGGCGGACUGGUGAGUAACACGUAAGCAACCUACCUGUUAGAGGGGAAUAACAGUGAGAAAUCACUGCUAAAACCGCAUAUGCCGUGAACAUCGCAUGAUGAAAACGGGAAAAGAGCAAUCUGCUAAUAGAUGGGCUUGCGUCUGAUUAGCUAGUUGGUGUGGUAAAGGCAUACCAAGGCGACGAUCAGUAGCCGGACUGAGAGGUUGAACGGCCACAUUGGGACUGAGAUACGGCCCAGACUCCUACGGGAGGCAGCAGUCGGGAAUAUUGCGCAAUGGAGGAAACUCUGACGCAGUGACGCCGCGUAUGGGAAGAAGGUUUUCGGAUUGUAAACCAUUUUAGACAAGGAAGAAACAAGACAGUACUUGUAGAAUAAGCUCCGGCUAACUACGUGCCAGCAGCCGCGGUAAUACGUAGGGAGCAAGCGUUAUCCGGAUUUAUUGGGUGUAAAGGGUGCGUAGACGGGAAGGUAAGUUAGUUGUGAAAUCCCUCGGCUCAACUGAGGAACUGCGACUAAAACUGCUUUUCUUGAGUGCUGGAGAGGAAAGUGGAAUUCCUAGUGUAGCGGUGAAAUGCGUAGAUAUUAGGAGGAACACCAGUGGCGAAGGCGACUUUCUGGACAGCAACUGACGUUGAGGCACG
rnacentral:rRNA from 1 species